CUCUGCUUUAAGCCGACUAUACGCCAUAUUGUAAUUCGUAAGGAGGCAAUUUCACGGUAUAUAUAUGUACACAGAAUGUUCGCUUGUACAGCGCCUUAUCCGGGCUUAUGGUCAGGUCAAGGGCUUCACAACUGACAAAAGGUUCAGAAGGGUUGAGAGCAGUCCUUCCCUUGCAAUGAUGGGAGGCUGACAGAGAGGAGGGGCACGGUCUGCUGGAUGGCCUGUAGUGCUGGUGGCAGCAACUGAACGUCUUGUGUGUCUCCUGAAGACGACGCAAGAAAACAUCUCUCUGGGCUGUAGGAGGCAGAGAAGAGUAGUGCCUAUUCCUUUUUAUCCUAUUGGAUGGUAUGAGACUUGCACGCUUAACCAGUCUCUCUCUCAAUGAAUGUAACUGCUUGUAGUGGCCAUACUGGUCCACUACCUUGAGAUACAAUAGAGUUUUGUUAAUGGGGGGUUGAUAUUCCAUCAUCAUUUCAAUGUACGCCUUACAGUUUGCAAACACCUGUUCUACUUGAUAUUUAUCUGCCAGCUCAAGGAGGUCCUCAAUGGUGUUGUCUGAAAACAGAAAUUUUUCACAUUAUGAGAUCCACCAUGUUAUUUUAUAAUUUUUUUAUUUAUUAUUUAGUCAAUGUCACAGAGGGGUGUUGAGGAGGCGACAAAGAUGAUAAAACUGUCAAAAAUGUGAAAAACUGCCAAAAACUGUCAGAAAAGUCUGUGGAGAGAAGCCUCACCUUUCAUUAACUCAAAUCCUCGCCCAGGGUAGAUUUGCUCCAAGAGAUUUACCAUGGCAUCGUAGUUUCUGGUUUCAAGUGUGAUCUCUUUUAAAUUUUUUUCCUGGAAGUCAUCUGUAAACAUGGCCUUAAACACAGGCGAGUGAUUCAUCAUCAGAGAAGACAAAACAAAAAGGACAAACGCAUUCACUUAAGGCCCAGAAAAAUCUUAGUUGUCAUGAUAGGUUGAGACUGUUUUCUGUAUCUACUACAUUUAUUCAUGCAUGAAAUAAAACCUUUGGGUCAGUGAACGCAGAAUAAAGUGCCUGUUACCACGAG